rnacentral:rRNA from 1 species
GCGAACGCUGGCGGCAGGCUUAACACAUGCAAGUCGAGCGCCUGUAGCAAUACAGGAGCGGCAGACGGGAGAGUAACACGUGGGAACGUACCUUUCAGUUCGGAACAACCAAGGGAAACUUUGGCUAAUACCGGAUACGCCCGUAAGGGGAAAGAUUUAUCGCUGAAAGAUCGGCCCGCGUCUGAUUAGCUUGUUGGUGAGGCAAUGGCUCACCAAGGCGACGAUCAGUAGCUGGUCUGAGAGGAUGAUCAGCCUCACUGGGACUGAGACACGGCCCAGACUCCUACGGGAGGCAGCAGUGGGGAAUAUUGGACAAUGGGCGCAAGCCUGAUCCAGCCAUGCCGCGUGGAUGAUGAAGGCCUUAGGGUUGUAAAGUCCUUUUAACGGGGAAGAUAAUGACGGUACCCGUAGAAUAAGCCCCGGCUAACUUCGUGCCAGCAGCCGCGGUAAUU